UACGUAGGGUGCAAGCGUUGUUCGGAAUCAUUGGGCGUAAAGCGCGUGUAGGCGGUUUGAUAAGUCGAGUGUGAAAUCCCUGGCUUAACCGAGGAAGUGCAUUCGAAACUAUCUGGCUAGAAGACGGUAGAGGAAGGUGGAAUUCCUAGUGUAGAGGUGAAAUGCGCAGAUAUCAGGAGGAACACCGGUGGCGAAAGGCGGGUCUCUGGGCAACAACUGACGCUGGAGGAGCGAAAGCGUGGGGAGCGAACAGG
rnacentral:rRNA from 1 species